rnacentral:rRNA from 1 species
AGUGAACGCUGGCGGUAGGCCUAACACAUGCAAGUCGAACGGCAGCACAGUAAGAGCUUGCUCUUACGGGUGGCGAGUGGCGGACGGGUGAGGAAUACAUCGGAAUCUACUUUUUCGUGGGGGAUAACGUAGGGAAACUUACGCUAAUACCGCAUACGACCUACGGGUGAAAGCAGGGGAUCUUCGGACCUUGCGCGAUUGAAUGAGCCGAUGUCGGAUUAGCUAGUUGGCGGGGUAAAGGCCCACCAAGGCGACGAUCCGUAGCUGGUCUGAGAGGAUGAUCAGCCACACUGGAACUGAGACACGGCCCAGACGCCUACGGGAGGCAGCAGUGGGGAAUAUGGGACAAUGGGCGCAAGCCUGAUACAGCCAUACCGCGUGGGUGAAGAAGGCCUUCGGGUUGUAAAGCCCUUUUGUUGGGAAAGAAAAGAAGCAGGUUAAUACGCCGCUGGUCUGACGGGACCCAAAGAAUAAGCACCGGCUAACUGCGUG